AGAGUUUGAUCAUGGCUCAGAUUGAACGCUGGCGGCAGGCCUAACACAUGCAAGUCGAGCGGUAACAGAAAGUAGCUUGCUACUUUGCUGACGAGCGGCGGACGGGUGAGUAAUGCUUGGGAACAUGCCUUGAGGUGGGGGACAACAGUUGGAAACGACUGCUAAUACCGCAUAAUGUCUACGGACCAAAGGGGGCUUCGGCUCUCGCCUUUAGAUUGGCCCAAGUGGGAUUAGCUAGUUGGUGAGGUAAUGGCUCACCAAGGCAACGAUCCCUAGCUGGUUUGAGAGGAUGAUCAGCCACACUGGAACUGAGACACGGUCCAGACUCCUACGGGAGGCAGCAGUGGGGAAUAUUGCACAAUGGGCGAAAGCCUGAUGCAGCCAUGCCGCGUGUGUGAAGAAGGCCUUCGGGUUGUAAAGCACUUUCAGUCAGGAGGAAAGGGUGUGAGUUAAUACCUCACAUCUGUGACGUUACUGACAGAAGAAGCACCGGCUAACUCCGUGCCAGCAGCCGCGGUAAUACGGAGGGUGCGAGCGUUAAUCGGAAUUACUGGGUGUAAAGCGUACGCANGCGGUUUGUUAAGCGAGAUGUGAAAGCCCCGGGCUCAACCUGGGAACUGCAUUUCGAACUGGCAAACUAAAGUGUGAUAGAUGGNGGUAGAAUUUCAGGUGUAGCGGUGAAAUGCGUAGAGAUCUGAAGGAAUACCGAUGGCUAAGGCAGCCACCUGGGUCAACACUGACGCUCAUGUACGAAAGCGUGGGGAGCAAACGGGGAUUAGAUACCCCGGUAGUCCACGCCGUAAACGAUGUCUACUAGAAGCUCGGAACCUCGGUUCUGUUUUUCAAAGCUAACGCAUUAAGUAGACCUCCUGGGGAGUACGGCCGCAAGGUUAAAACUCAAAUGAAUUGACGGGGGCCCCCACAAGCGGUGGAGCAUGUGGUUUAAUUCGAUGCACCCCGAAGAACCUUACCAUCCCUUGACAUC
rnacentral:rRNA from 1 species